rnacentral:rRNA from 1 species
GUCGAGAAUCUUCGGCAAUGGGCGCAAGCCUGACCGAGCGACGCCGCGUGGAGGACGAAGGCCUUCGGGUUGUAAACUCCUGUCGAGGGGGAGGAAGCCGCAAGGUUGACCGAUCCCUGGAGGAAGGACGGGCUAAGUUCGUGCCAGCAGCCGCGGUAAGACGAACCGUCCGAACGUUAUUCGGAAUUACUGGGCUUAAAGCGCGUGUAGGCGGCUGGGCACGUCGGACGCUGAAAUCCCCCGGCUCAACCGGGGAAGUGGCGCCGAUACGGCUUGGCUGGAGGGGGGUAGGGGGGCCUGGAACUUCCGGUGGAGCGGUGAAAUGCGUUGAGAUCGGAAGGAACGCCCGUGGCGAAAGCGAGGCCCUGGACCCUUACUGACGCUGAGACGCGAAAGCCAGGGGAGCGAACGGG